rnacentral:rRNA from 1 species
UAAUACCGCAUAAGCGCACGGAGUCGCAUGACUUUGUGUGAAAAACUGAGGUGGUAUAUGAUGGACCCGCGUCUGAUUAGCUUGUUGGUGAGGUAACGGCCCACCAAGUCGACGAUCAGUAGCCGGCCUGAGAGGGUGGACGGCCACAUUGGGACUGAGACACGGCCCAAACUCCUACGGGAGGCAGCAGUGGGGAAUAUUGCACAAUGGGGGAAACCCUGAUGCAGCGACGCCGCGUGAGCGAAGAAGUAUUUCGGUAUGUAAAGCUCUAUCAGCAGGGAAGAAAAUGACGGUACCUGACUAAGAAGCCCCGGCUAACUACGUGCCAGCAGCCGCGGUAAUACGUAGGGAGCGAGCGUUGUCCGGAUUUACUGGGUGUAAAGGGAGCGUAGACGGUGAAGUAAGUCUGGAGUGAAAGGCGGGGGCCCAACCCCCGGACUGCUCUGGAAACUAUUUGACUGGAGUGCAGGAGAGGUAAGCGGAAUUCCUAGUGUAGCGGUGAAAUGCGUAGAUAUCAGGAGGAACAUCAGUGGCGAAGGCGGUCUACUGGACGAUGACUGACGUUGAGGCUCGAAAGCGUGGGGAGCAAACAGGAUUAGAUACCCUGGUAGUCCACGCUGUAAACGAUGAAUACUAGGUGUCGGGGAACAAUAGUUCUUCGGUGCCGCAGCAAACGCAUUAAGUAUUCCACCUGGGGAGUACGUUCGCAAGAAUGAAACUCAAAGGAAUUGACGGGGGCCCGCACAAGCGGUGGAGCAUGUGGUUUAAUUCGAAGCAACGCGAAGAACCUUACCAGGUCUUGACAUCCCAUCGAAUAAAGGGUAAUGCCUUUAGUCCUUCGGGACGAUGGAGACAGGUGGUGCAUGGUUGUCGUCAGCUCGUGCCGUGAGGUGUCGGCUUAAGUGCCAUAACGAGCGCAACCCACAUCGGUAGUUGCUAACAGUUUUCGCUGAGGACUCUACCGAGACUGCCGUCGUAAGGCGCGAGGAAGGUGUGGAUGACGUCAAAUCAGCACGGCCCUUACAUCCGGGGCGACACACGUGUUACAAUGGGAGGGACAAAGGGCAGCUACCGGGCGACCGGAUGCGAAUCUCUAAACCCUUCCCCAGUUCGGAUCGGAGUCUGCAACUCGACUCCGUGAAGCUGGAUUCGCUAGUAAUCGCGCAUCAGCCAUGGCGCGGUGAAUACGUUCCCGG